CUUUGAUACAUCUUAGUAUUUCUGGGAUGUAUGGCAAACUUUGAGCUAUGGGCCUCUGUCAUGAUGUCCCUUUUCAACUCGUUAUCACCUAGAACACACACUUUGUCCUGGAAUCUGAGCAACCCAUAGGUAGAGACUCAGAAUUCUAAAUUGACUCCCUGUUCUGCAUCUUUCUUGAGGGCUUCUAGGGUAGAAUUGGCAGACUGAGCUUCCUUUAUUAUAUUGAUUAACU
rnacentral:lncRNA from 1 species